rnacentral:misc_RNA from 1 species
AUUGAUGAGAACAAAGUUGCAGUCUUUGGAGGGUCCCAUGGAGGAUUCUUAACAACUCAUUUGAUUGGUCAAUAUCCAGGGUUUUAUAAGGCAGCAUGCUGUAGAAAUCCAGUAACAAAUAUUGCAGGUAUGGUAGCCACCACAGAUAUUCCUGACUGGUGCUAUGUGGAAGCAGGGUUUGACUUCACACACAGUAGCCUACCCACUGGAGAGAAACUAACAAACAUGUGGAACAAGUCCCCUAUGCAGUAUGUAGACAAGGUAGAAACGCCUAUUCUGAUUAUGCUGGGGCUAGAGGAUGCAAGAGUCCCCCCCAAACAAGGGGAAGAAUACUACAAAAAACUCAGGGCCCGGAAUAAAAAAGCCAGGUUGAUUGGGUAUUCAGACAACAGUCAUCCCAUACAAACAGUGGAAGCUAGUGCAGAUAGCUGCAUUAACAUCCUGGACUGGUUCUGGCAGCAUCUAGACUGAGGACAGGGAACCAGUAUACCCUGUCACAAAAUUCAACAGUUCAUUAUUUUUAAUUGUCCGAAAGGUGGAUUAUAAAUCAUUAAAUGAUUAUUUUGAAGAAAAAUAAAUUAAUAUAAUUUG